rnacentral:rRNA from 1 species
UACGGGGGGGGGCAAGCGUUGUUCGGAAUUACUGGGCGUAAAGGGCUCGUAGGCGGCCAACUAAGUCAGACGUGAAAUCCCUCGGCUUAACCGGGGAACUGCGUCUGAUACUGGAUGGCUUGAGUUCGGGAGAGGGAUGCGGAAUUCCAGGUGUAGCGGUGAAAUGCGUAGAUAUCUGGAGGAACACCGGAUGGCGAAGGCGCAGGUCUCGUGGCCUACUGACGCUGAG